CCUACGGGAGGCAGCAGUGAGGAAUAUUGGUCAAUGGACGAAAGUCUGAACCAGCCAAGUCGCGUGAAGGAUGACUGCCCUAUGGGUUGUAAACUUCUUUUAUAAAGGAAUAAAACGAGGCACGUGUUCCUUUUUGCAUGUACUUUAUGAAUAAGGAUCGGCUAACUCCGUGCCAGCAGCCGCGGUAAUACGGAGGAUGCGAGCGUUAUCCGGAUUUAUUGGGUGUAAAGGGAGCGUAGAUGGGUUGUUAAGUCAGUUGUGAAAGUUAGGGGCUCAACCGUAAAAUUGCAAUUGAUACUGGCAGUCUUGAGUACAGUUGAGGUAGGCGGAAUUCGUGGUGUAGCGGUGAAAUGCUUAGAUAUCACGAAGAACCCCGAUUGCGAAGGCAGCUUACUAAACUGUGACUGACAUUGAUGCUCGAAAGUGUGGGUAGCAAACAGGAUUAGAUACCCGUGUAGUC
rnacentral:rRNA from 1 species